GUGCUCGCUUCGGCAGCACAUAUACUAAAAUUGGAACAAUACAGAGAAGAUGAGCAUGGCCCCUGUGCAA
rnacentral:snRNA from 1 species